rnacentral:rRNA from 1 species
GACGAACGCUGGCGGCGUGCUUAACACAUGCAAGUCGAACGGAAAGGCCCAGCUUGCUGGGUGCUCGAGUGGCGAACGGGUGAGUAACACGUGGGUGAUCUGCCUCUAACUUCGGGAUAAGCUUGGGAAACUGGGUCUAAUACCGGAUAGGACAAUCGUUUAGUGUCGGUUGUGGAAAGUUUUUUCGGUUAGGGAUGAGCCCGCGGCCUAUCAGCUUGUUGGUGGGGUAAUGGCCUACCAAGGCGUCGACGGGUAGCCGGCCUGAGAGGGUGGACGGCCAACUUGGGACGGGGGUGCGGCCAAAACCCCACGGGGGGGAAGGGAGGGGGAAUUUGGCCAAAGGGGGCAAAGCCGGAGGGAGGGGCCGCGGGUGGGGGAUGACGGCCUUGGGGUGUGAAACCUUUUUCGAAAGGAACGAAGCUUUGGGGGCGGGACCGGUAAAAGAAACCCCGGCGAACUACGG